UAAAUCCCCAAACUUAACUCAGACGGAAAUCCCCAAAUCGACCACACCCUAACAUAGCCUCCUCCCCGAGCCGCCGCCGCCGCACCCCACCCUGCGCGGCUGCCGACCGCCCUCCGCCACACUCCAGUGCCAGCUUCCUCCCCGACCACGCGCCGACCACCGUCUGCCACACCUAGUGCCACUCCUCCCGGACCAUGCCGCCGAGCAUCCUCUGCCGCCCCGACCACCAUUCGUCGGACCUCCAGCAACGCCCAAGCAGCCAAGCCUCCUCCACGCGUCCUCCGCCAGGCUCCUCUAGGCUCGAGUUGCUCAAGUGUUUCAGCAGAAGGAUCUGUUCGAGUGAGGAUGUCCACAAGGAUGACGUCUAACUUCCACCAGAUCUGGCAUGGAACGAGGAUCCCCAAGUGACUCGCAGAUGCGAAGGAAAAUUGAGCAAGGUUCUGCCUCCCAUGGUUGAGCAGUCAUAAGGGUUAUGUUGUCUCUCCAUGUUGCUGGCAUAUGAGCCCAACUAAUAUUUGCUUCCUGUGAUCUAGGGAAGGAUAAGAUUGAUGUUUCCUACCUGCCAUACUCAUCUAUUUCGUCUUUCAGUUGACAUGCCUACUGUACGAAUUACAGUCUUUGGUACAUUCACUUAUCCCUUCGAAUUUGACAAGCAUGGAAGAAUCUGAAUAUCACAAGUUAUGAUUUCUUUGUUUCCUAAUCAUCCCUCUCCCGUUAUUAUUUAGCAUUGGCUAACUGACUGCGGUGUUUAUGCUUAUAUCCUUCGGUUAUAGUUUAUAACAAACCAAAUUAAGGAUUUUGUGUUCAUCUCUGAAAAUUCAUAAUGAUGUUUGGUAUUUAAUCUUUCAAGGAAAUGCAGCAAAGCUGUUGUACUAGGAAGAUUAUCCUGACAUGGAGUUUUUUAGGAACAGGAGAGUCGCACACAUCUAAAGUAUAGAAAUUUAUUCUUAAUGUGCUAGGCUUAAUGCAACUAAGAUAAAUGUUCAACAAGGCUUAUUGAUCUGUUAAAUUGUUCUCAGUUUCAGAUGUCAAUACAAGAAAGGUAACCUUGUGUUAGAUCUUCAAUCCAAGGGAGAAAUUGGAGCAUCGGGACAUUUAAACUGAACCUAAAUUAAGGAAUCAUGAUACUACUUUAUGGUCUGACUGGUGAAAGAGGUUGAAAAUGUUCCUGUAAGAUUCGUCAAGGCACCUUGCCUUAACCAUAUGCCCUGAGCUCACACAGAACUUACAGGCUUUAUUCUUUGUGUUUGUUACAUCUUGUACUGCUCAAAUGUCUAGAAACUAUAGAUGCUAAAUUAUGAGGGAAGUCUUCAUGUGUAAUCAAUGAAUUGCAUACAUUGUAAAAUGUUUGAUGAUCAAACUUUAUAAUAUAUAUGCGAUGUGCAUCUGCAUAAUCCUUUUGCUUUAUUUGAA